rnacentral:rRNA from 1 species
AUUGAACGCUGGCGGCAGGCCUAACACAUGCAAGUCGAACGGUAACAGGAAUCAGCUUGCUGAUUCGCUGACGAGUGGCGGACGGGUGAGUAAUGUCUGGGAAACUGCCUGAUGGAGGGGGAUAACUACUGGAAACGGUAGCUAAUACCGCAUAACGUCGCAAGACCAAAGAGGGGGACCUUCGGGCCUCUUGCCAUCGGAUGUGCCCAGAUGGGAUUAGCUAGUAGGUGGGGUAACGGCUCACCUAGGCGACGAUCCCUAGCUGGUCUGAAAGCAUGACCAGCCACACUGGAACUGAGACACGGGCCAGACUCCUACGGGAGGCAGCAGUGGGGAAUAUUGCACAAUGGGCGCAAGCCUGAUGCAGCCAUGCCGCGUGUAUGAAGAAGGCCUUCGGGUUGUAAAGUACUUUCAGCGGGGAGGAAGGGAGUAAAGUUAAUACCCUUGCUCAUUGACGUUACCCGCAGAAGAAGCACCGGCUAACUCCGUGCCAGCCGCCGCGGUAA